GACACUUCCAGUGCCACAUUGGGACUGCUGAGAUCUCCAACCUCGUGCAACUAUCAGAAUCUUGGCCUUUCCAGGAUGAGCUAGUCAUUGUUGUUGGAUACCCACUUAGACUGCAUCCUCAAAGUCUGGAUCACAGCGACACGUGAAUAGAGACCCCUAAGGGGAAUUUCUGAGGCUACAGAACCAACUGCUUUGGGCUUCAUUUUGCACUGACAGAGGCCUGUUUUAUCUGCAAUGUUCCAAUCCUUGGAUGAAAAAGUAGUUCGACUGAGCUGAACUGAAUACUGCCUUCCUAGCUGAACUGAAUACUGCCUUCCUGGCGUUUAAAACCGGAAGAGAUGACAGAGGAACUGAAACAGCUUCGGUCUGUGCUCUUGCAGCGUCGGCCCCAUUAUAGCUCCUGUUCCAGGUGCAUUCCUGCUUCUACAGGAAAAUUAUAGAGAAAAAAAGCUUGGUCCAAACUUGUCUGGCAAAGCAGCUAAAAAUGACUGGGACUUGUGACAAACAUGGUUUCUCUGUAUAGUCCUGGCUGUCCUGAAAUUCAUACUGUAAAUCAAACCAGUCUUGAAUAUAGAGAGAUCUGCCUGCCUCUGCCUCCCAAGUGCUGGGACUGAAGGUAUGUACCACCCCUCAGCUCGUUUAUUUUCAUUCUAAAAUUAUUUUAGUACAGCCCAUGGUAACAUUAAUUUUUUCUAAAUAUACAAUCUACUGAAAGAGUCUUUUUUCCUAACAAACUCUAGAUGGUGAGCUAUUUAUUUCAAUCUUUCAUUAACACAUAUUCAAAUUUAUUUUUAAAAACAACUGAAUGGUUUUAAACGAGUGAGUAAACUCAAACACAAUCCAUCACUUAAAUACCCUAUACCAACACCAUCUCAUGUGCAGCAUGAGUCUGGUCAAGAGUGUAAUGACUGGAUCAAAAACUCUCUAUACCAUUUUUUGUGCAAUAUUCUCACUUCUUAUUUGCUUGAUUAAAGUGAAACCAUUUAUGUCACAGUGACACA